rnacentral:rRNA from 1 species
AGUGAACGCUGGCGGCAUGCUUUACACAUGCAAGUCGAACGGCAGCGCGGUCUUCGGCCUGGCUGCGAGUGGCGAACGGGUGAGUAAUGCAUCGGAACGUGCCCAGUUGUGGGGGAUAGCCCGGCGAAAGCCGGAUUAAUACCGCAUACGACCUGAGGGUGAAAGCGGGGGACCGAAAGGCCUCGCGCCAUUGGAGCGGCCGAUGUCGGAUUAGCUAGUUGGUGGGGUAAAGGCUUACCAAGGCGACGAUCCGUAGCUGGUCUGAGAGGACGACCAGCCACACUGGGACUGAGACACGGCCCAGACUCCUACGGGAGGCAGCAGUGGGGAAUUUUGGACAAUGGGGGCAAACCUGAUCCAGCCAUGCCGCGUGAGGGAAGAAGGCCUUCGGGUUGUAAACCGCUUUUGUUCGGGAAGAAAUCCUGUGGGCUAAUACCCCGGGGGGAUGACGGUACCGGAAGAAUAAGCACCGGCUAACUACGUG